AGUGAACGCUGGCGGCAGGCCUAAUACAUGCAAGUCGAACGGCAGCACAGCUUAAGCUUGCUUAAGUGGGUGGCGAGUGGCGGACGGGUGAGGAAUACGUGGGAAUCUGCCCAGUCGUGGGGGAUAACGUAGGGAAACUUACGCUAAUACCGCAUGCGCCCUUUGGGGGAAAGCCGGGGAUCUUCGGACCUGGCGCGAUGGGAUGAGCCCACGUCGGAUUAGCUAGUUGGAGGGGUAAAGGCCCACCAAGGCGACGAUCCGUAGCUGGUCUGAGAGGAUGAUCAGCCACACUGGAACUGAGACACGGUCCAGACUCCUACGGGGGGCAGCAGUAGGGAAUAUUGGACAAUGGGCGCAAGCCUGAUCCAGCCAUGCCGCGUGAGUGAAGAAGGCCCUCGGGUUGUAAAGCUCUUUUGUUGGGGAAGAAAAGCCUUGGGUUAAUACCCUGAGGUUCUGACGGUACCCAAAGAAUAAGCACCGGCUAACUUCGUGCCAGCCGCCGCCGUAA
rnacentral:rRNA from 1 species